rnacentral:rRNA from 1 species
GGUUCCUACGGGACGCAGCAGUGAGGAAUAUUGGUCAAUGGGCGAGAGCCUGAACCAGCCAAGUCGCGUGAAGGAUGACGGCCCUACGGGUUGUAAACUUCUUUUGUCAGGGAGCAAUUGGGUCCACGCGUGGGCUUAGCGAGAGUACCUGAAGAAAAAGCAUCGGCUAACUCCGUGCCAGCAGCCGCGGUAAUACGGAGGAUGCGAGCGUUAUCCGGAUUUAUUGGGUUUAAAGGGUGCGUAGGCGGGCAUUUAAGCCGGCGGUCAAAUGUCGGGGCUCAACCCCGGCCUGCCGUCGGAACUGG